AUUGAACGCUGGCGGCAGGCCUAACACAUGCAAGUCGAACGAGUGGCGGACGGGUGAGUAAUGUCUGGGCAACUGCCUGCUGGAUGGGGAUAACUACUGGAAACGGUAUCUAAUACCGCAUACCAUCAGCUGUGCCCAGAUGGGAUUAGCUUGUUGGUGGGGUAACGGCUAACCAAGGCGACGAGCCCUAGCUGGUCUGAGAGGAAGACAAGCCACACUGGAACUGAGACACGGUCCAGACUCCUACGGGAGGCAGAAGUGGGGAAUAUUGCACAAUGGGAGCAAGCCUGAUGCAGCAAGGACGCGUGUAUGAAGAAGGCAUUCGGGUUGAAAAGUACUUUCAGCGGGGAGGCGUUACCCGCAGAAGAAGCACCGGCUAACUCCGUGCCAGCAGCCGCGGUAAUAC
rnacentral:rRNA from 1 species